CAAGUCCCGUGAAGGUGACGGUUGCGUACAUGAUCAAGUUGGCUUUUAAAAUAUUUGAAUUGAGAAACAAACACAGAAAAGAAAAACAAACGCGCAAGAGGUCCGAGGUCGCUCCCACCUAAUAAAAGAAAAAUAAACCAAAGCUAAAGAUACUAUGAAUUUCACUUUAGGCCUCCAAAUACAAGUACUUCGCGCAUUUCCUGGAUAAAUUUAACUAAGGGAGGACCUCUCGACUCGAAUGAAAAAGCAAAUGAAAAAUCCUAAGAUUGCCUACCCAUGUGAUGACGACCUAGCAUGCUCCUAGCGGUGCAAUAAAAAUAAAUAAAGGAAACUAAGUAAAAGUAAAUUCUAAAUCAUGCUCAUCUUCCUUUUGACUUUUCAUUCUUAUUAGACCGAGCCCGAUACCUAAAGCAUGCAAACAAAAUUUAUUACUAAUGGGCUAGGCCUUGCCCCACUUCCCGCAGUCCAAUUCAUCAAACAAGUACAUGCAUAUAUAUCUCAUUUCCAAUCUCAUGAAUCAAAUUGCGACCCAAUAUGCCAAUUUGUAAUUAUGCAAGACAAUGACUAUCUAAUGACGUAAUUAACACAAUGAAGGCAGCUAUGUUAAACAAACUAACUCAGCUCCAUUAGCUCAUUCUGUUUAGCUAAAUACACUUUUCUUGUCUUUCCAAUUCAAAAUUGUGGAAGUACACUGGUGGGCAAAUAUCUUCCCACUGGUUAAAUCCAAUAGAAAGAACAUGAAAAAUUUCAAUCGAACUAAAAUAUGUAUUGAAAACUUAUUUCAAUAUUUAUACCACUCAACAUCUCAUUUUGAACUAGGAUUAAGUGAAUCCAUUAAUAAUGACAAAAUACCUUCAGAUCUUCAAUUCUUUCUUAGUGUGAUCAAAUACCCUAACAUCAAAGGCAGGAAAAUAAUAUUGCAAAUUAUAACUCUUAAAGUUCCCUCCUAAGGAAUCAUACACUAAUCAAUACAUGUAAAUCAACGAAUCAAUAUUUAUCACGGCGAUUUCAGACAGACUCAAUCAGAUAUGCUUCAUCUUACAACCCACAAAGAACAUUUUAAAUUAAAUAACUAAAUGCAAACUAAUCUUCCUAAAUGGCUCUUCCCAUGCUUAAUUUACCACAAAACAGUGAGCAAGCAGAAUGAGAAAGGGGAUGAACCUGAAAUUUGAGAUUUCAAUUGUCCUUUGAUGUUCAAAUGUGAUACAAGCAAAAACCGAACGAUGAACUUAGCAGGGACUGGAUAGAACAUCGGCAAUCGAAUCCGAAACCACGAACUCGAACAUCAAACGGCAAAUAAAACUUCAAACGAGCACCACCGGAACUCAAUCACACUCCAUGCUUAAAUCAAAAUUAGAAUUCCAGAGAAGCAAAAUGAACUAAUUUUUUUGUGUUUUCUUUUAAUGAUUUUUCGGACACAAAAAAUAAAACAAAAAUCAGGAUGAACUCCUUUUGAACGACCCUUGUUUUGUGAAAUUUCAAACAACAAAAGAAAAGAAGAAAGCUAUGCCAAAACGAACCCUAGAGCUUUUUUCUGAAAAUUUUUGUUCCCUUUCUUUUUAAAUUCUCUCCCCCCAAACCCAAAUAUAUGAGAAAAAACCCUAAUAUAUAGGAGGCCUCGAACCUCCUAUGCUUCCUCACAAAGAAAUAUAUCUCCAAACCCGAAAAAUAACUCCAAAAAUCCGAAAACCUUUCAUACAAACAGAUUUUAGGCAAAUGGAUGCCUAGGAUCCACAGGCCUCGAUCCUAAGUCCCCCAUUUAACUAUCAUCCAUUCAUGAAUAGCCCUGAUUCUUCAAACAAUUGUGAAAGGCGCGUGAGAUGACAGAAAAACGCGUGGAAUCGGAUUAUAUUGAUGAGGGGGAGGACCAUGGAGGGGACCAGGGCUUACGUGGAACGCCGGGAAAUUGACUUUUCCGGUGGUUUUAUGGUGGCUGGGCGCGGCAAAAGUGAGAUAAAGAGGGGUGGGUGCGGCGUUCUUGGUUGGGUCUUUAGGGUUAGGGCUAGGGAAUAUUAGGUUUUAUAUGAUGGUUAGGAUAUAUGUGGACCAUUGGAUUAAAUCCAAUCAAAGGUCAGGAUUUGCACUAGAGGAUGGGGCGAGUCAUGGGUUGGCCGGCGGCUAUUGGGCUUGGAGCGUGGUCAAGG
rnacentral:lncRNA from 1 species